GCUAUAAGAAUUUUAGGUAGUAAAAAAAACACAAACCAAUAUAGUUUGGCGGUUAUUACAAUUCUAGAGAAACUCGCUUUUUGAUCGACACCACCCGUUAAUUUUAACUUUUUUACAAAAUUUUUAUACCGCCGUUACAGAAUUUAAAACAAAUCAAAUAUCUUCAAAACAACAGUUAAAAAAUCAGGUCAAGGUGAAAUUCACAGGAAAGUAAAAGUAAGUUACAUUAAACAUUAAUUUAAGGAAAAAGUAUACAAAUAUGCUUUAAAAAAAGAAUCUAGAAGUAUAUUUUAUUUAAUAUAUAAAAUAGAAAAAAACUAAUAACGC
rnacentral:rRNA from 1 species